rnacentral:rRNA from 1 species
GAUGAACGCUGGCGGCGUGCCUAAUACAUGCAAGUCGAGCGAACGGACGAGAAGCUUGCUUCUCUGAUGUUAGCGGCGGACGGGUGAGUAACACGUGGAUAACCUACCUAUAAGACUGGGAUAACUUCGGGAAACCGGAGCUAAUACCGGAUAAUAUUUUGAACCGCAUGGUUCAAAAGUGAAAGACGGUCUUGCUGUCACUUAUAGAUGGUUCCGCGCUGCAUUAGCUAGUUGGUAAGGUAACGGCUUACCAAGGCAACGAUGCAUAGCCGACCUGAGAGGGUGAUCGGCCACACUGGAGCGGAGACACGGUCCAGACGCCUACGGGAGGCAGCAGUAGGGAAUCUGCCGCAGUGGGGGGAAGCCUGACGGAGCAAGGCGGCGUGAGUGAUGAAGGUCUUCGGAUCGUAAAAAUCUGUUAUUAGGGAAGAACAGAUGUGUAAGUAACUGUGCACAUCUUGACGGUACCUAAUCAGAAAGCCACGGCUAACUACGUG